GUUGCAUUUUUUUGUUGCAUGCAUUUCACAUGAGCCGGCAGUUGCCGCUUUCCAUUUGGUUUAUUGCGAAUUUUAUUGUUUUUAUGGUAGUUUAUGGCAAAUGCCAUACAGCGAGCCGUGUAAAUAUUUGUUCUAGGCGAUGCAGAGCUGUAUCCAGUUGGAGGGAAAUGUUCACAGACAAGGACCCGUACACGAAACGGACACGCUUAAACAUGCAAAAGUUGAUAAAGUGAAAUUUUUGCUGGUGCAUUUCAAUCAGCAUUAUGUUACCAACUGAUGUCUCAUCAGAAGCCAUGGAAAAAACACGGACUGAAUCCUACCUGCAGGAGCAACGCCUGCAAUGUACAUACGAGGAAAUUAUUUGCAAUCUAAUAUACAGGAUUGACAUCAGCAAUUGAGUGAUAUUUACCUCAGGCCAUCCAAUCCGUAUGUUUAUGUUCUCCAGGUUUAAAGCUAGCUGAAAAUGUUGAAAAACAGCAGUUUUUGGAAGGGUGAAAUGUUGCAUAUUCCGCUCUGCUGAAAGUGUAACUUCAAAUCGGAAAUAUGGAUUUCCAAUGUCCAAUGAUAAGACAUAUCGCUAUAUACAUAAUUCAGCUACCAUAAAAACAAUUGAUCGGAAAGCUAACCUUUGUUAGUGUAUCUCAUCUAAAGUAUCUAAAGAUAUGAAUGCUAAUAUAUUAAACAAAAUAGCUCUACCAAAUGCUAUAACUUCAA
rnacentral:sRNA from 1 species